GCAACAGGCAAGGGGCUAAAGGGAGGGGGGCCCAGUGCCAGCCGUUUAAAAAUGCCCCGUGGCAGUGAGGGGUGCCAGAGGCCCGGUCAAGUUAGUUGAGAAGCAAUGACACCCCCAACAAUCCCCUAAAUGAGCUGACCCCCGUAUCCAGGCUGCAAGGAGCCACACCUGGACCAGACCCCAGGAGAGCCUCCUGGAGCUUCCCAAGAAGACAGAGGUUCCCCCCACUGGCUGGGCUCAGCGACAUUUCCUGAAGACAGUGAGGAGCAGGGAGGGGGAAUCGGCCCAUUCUCUGGGAGCAGCCCCCCAGACUGCCAACAGCCGGCACCAGCAUCACCAGAUUUUUCUAGGUACAAGGGAACAGAACCACACAGCCCAUAGCCAGAGGAGAAGGAGGCAAUUAGAGUGCCCGGGUCAAAGGCUGUCAACAAGCCCCUGCCUCUGCGUCAGAGUUUCUCCCACAGGAACGUGGGCCUGCCUCCCAUCUACCUCCCGUCUCCAUACCCGGGAAAGGCGCUAUCUUUGCAACAAUAUUCCGAGCCCCAUGCUGGAAAUAGCUCUCAACUCCCCUGGUCCAAGCGGGGCUGUGACCGUGGAACCAUCUCCCUUCCAUCCUGGUCCUCCACGUGGAGGUGACACCAGCUGGGCCGAAGGUUAAAUGCGAUGGGAACCAAACCACAGCCACUCAGAUACCCCCUUCUGUAUUUUUUUCCUCUAUCUGCAAACAAUCACAGUACCUCUACAUUUAAGAUGAGUCAUGUGUACCCGCGUAUGUCCGUGAAAAACUCUGACACUGGCCAUAACGAGGAGACGAAGGUAAGAUAAGCAGCAAGAAGGGAACAGUGUGGUUAUCCUUCGCCCCAGUGCGGUGGCUUGUGAGGCCCUGGGCCUGAGGCCUGAGGUCUGAGGCCGAAGGGAAAUGAGCAGGAGCUGGGAAAGCCUCAGAGACAAGAGAGCACCAAACAGGCUUUCUCGCCCUUCCUCGUAAAUAGAAAGCAAACUGAUGGAGGGGAAAAGCUUGCAUCACUGUCUUCCACAGGUAGGACUGAGGCCCGCAGAUUCUGCAGAACUGCUCAUGCAGGGCGCCAGAGGUGGUCCGGUGAAGGCUUUGGAAACAGUUGUGCAUCGAGGAAUGCAGGAGGCUGGCUUUAUCAGCUUGGUUUCUGGCCAUGGAAGUUUGUCACUUUGUCAAGAACCACCCCCACCCCCCACCUGCCCCACCGGCUUCGUACUGAAACCUCCAAGUUGGUCAGGCCGAGCAUGUUCCCUCGCGGGGCUGGUGGGGGCCCAUCCCAGAGUGGAGCACAGUGGACAUGACAGGCUGUGGGCUGUCUAGGACCCCCGAGGUGGGACCCCCCCAUCGGACUCACUCCCCAGCCAAAUGCGCUCUGGAGAGAGUUCCUACGGGAGAACUCCAGAUGAGAGAAAGGCAUUUCUUGGGCUGGGAAUACCUCAGGAAGGGACUGUCCUCCUCAGGAGGCCAUGGGGACUGACCUGCCCUCAAGUGGCAGACUGGAGAGAGACACUCUUCAGCUCAAGGCCAGAUUUCAGAUUUCUAGGAGAGGCAUAGGAGACACUUUUUUUUCAAGGAGGAGGUUUUGUUUUGUUUUGCUUUCUUCCAGCCCUAAGAAAGGCUACCCACCCCCUUAGGCCUUCAUAUAACUCUGAAAGUAUCUGUCAUCUGGUAUCAAGGCCACCACCGUAGACACCCAGCAAAGCAGGAAAGUCUUCUGGGGGUGCCCAGGAGGAACAGAGGUGGCCCUGCCUGCCUGCUCGCAGAGGUUCCCACCCAAGCCAGGUCUCAAGAAGAAAAUGAAUUAUCUACAUUGGCCAUUCAGUCACCCACCAAAUGGCAUUGCCUGGGGCCCAUCACCAUGUACAAAGACCUCAGCAAGGCCCAAGGACACCCCCAAAUUAACAAAUGUCGGCACUGCCUCCAGGGAACUGGAUACUAGCCCAGUCAGACCCGGAUGCAAAUAGCUCUGACACUGGAGAUGAGGUUGAUGAAAGUAAUUCAGUCAUUCAACCAAUGCUUGCUGAGGUCUACACUGCCGGAACCCACUUUCAGUGGUGAGCCCAGGCGGCUCACGGGUGGGUGACGCAGCCCACAAGUGUGGUGCAGGAUUAGAAGGAGGGCACACAGGGUGUGAGGAUGUGGACAGGGGUGUCCUGAUGUCUGAGGAAGUCAACGAGGGCUUCCCAGAAAAAAAUGGCUUUUUGAUACUAGGCGCAGGAAGAGGAGGCAGGCAGGGGGUGUGAGGGGAACAGCACAGCACCCGAGAGCCCGGAGAUGGUGGGCACGGGAGAAGCGGGAGAGGCCUCGUGGUCUUUGGGGAGGACUUUAGAAAUUAGAUGGGAGGAGAGGGAGCACUUUCAGGAUCCUAAAGCAUGGAAGAGAUAUGACCGUAUUUACACUUGAAAAGUCACUUUGGAAGGAUGUCUGGGAAGGAUGGGGGGUGGACGUCGGGGCGGGUGGGGAGUGGAAGCAGGGAGACCAGGUAGGAGGCCAGGGCAAAUGUUUGAUGAUAUAAAAUAUCAAGUACCACGACUGUGCUGUUUGGCUCGAAGGUACAGAGCAUAAAGGUGGGGCCUGGGGUCCCAUAUCGGAUGAGUCCAUUUAUCGGAAUGUCUAGAAUCAGCGGCUCUCGAGACAGAAAGCCGGCUGCCCAGAGCCGGGGCUGAUGGCAGAUGGGAGGGGCUGAAUGAUAAGAGGUCUCCUGUUGGGGUGAUGAAGUGUCCUAAAAUUGGCUGUGGCAGUGGUUGCACAACUGGGUGAAUGUAUCCGAAGCCAUUUCAUUGUACACUUUAAGUGUAUAUGUGGGAUUACAUCUCAAUAAAGCUGGUUUUUAACAAAAGAG
rnacentral:lncRNA from 1 species